AGCCACAAGCACCAGUCAGUUCUAAAGAGCCAACUGAAACACAAAGUUAUAAUUGCUAGCUUGUGUGAAGACAUGCUUUUCUCCUUCCAUUCUUGUUUACAGUUACCUGAACCAAUGUCACUUUCAGAUGCGCAGGACAAUGCUGACUAUAGAUUAUUUCAGAAAAUACUCAAAUUGUGUCGUUUGCCAUUUCCCUUUUGCACUACAUAAAGGGAUGCAAGUGAAAUGGGGAAAAGUAUGAUGAGAAGCCAGUCACUAUGUCUCCAGUGAAAAUUAUAAUGUUCACAAGAAAAGAUGUAGAUUUGUUUUUUUUUUGUACCGGGGAUCAAACUUGGAUCCUUGCACUUGCGCAGCAGGCGGUGAAACCACUGAGCUAAAUCCCGGGCCCAAGAUGU
rnacentral:lncRNA from 1 species